rnacentral:lncRNA from 1 species
UUGACAAAGAGUGGCGGGGGUAGCACAUCUCUCCAGCCUCAAACUAUUCCUUCCUCAGGGCAGAAUUUCCCCGUGAUGCUCUCUUGUCAUCAUCACCUUCUUGUCUGAACUCAUCAACAUUUCAGCCAAAUUACUGUGCUGCUAAGUCACUGGGAAGACCAGGACCCCACACAAAGAUGAUCAUCUUAGAGAUGCACAAAA